GAUGAAGAACGUAGCGAAAUGCGAUACUUGGUGUGAAUUGCAGAAUCCCGUGAACCAUCGAGUCUUUAAACGCAAGUUGCGCCCGAAGCCAUUAGGCCGAGGGCACGCCUGCCUGGGCGUCACACGUCGUUGCCCCCCCAUCUACUCCUUCGGGAUUGCGGGGGGCGGAUGAUGGCCUCCCGUGCGCCUCGUCGCGCGGUUGGCAUAAAUGCCAAGUCCUCGGCGACACACGCCACGACAAUCGGUGGUUGCGAAACCUCGGUUGCCCGUCGUGUGCGGUCGUCGCGCAUCGAGGGCUCGAAAAAAUUGCCGGGCUCCGGCUCGGCUUUCAACGCGACCCCAGGUCAGGCGGGGUUACCCGCUGAAUUUAAGCAUAUCAAUAAGCGGAGGA
rnacentral:misc_RNA from 1 species